GCCAGGCUGGUAUAGUGGUUUGAGUAUUGGACUGGGACUCCAGAAGACCAGGUUUCAAAUCCCUGCUUGGGCA